rnacentral:rRNA from 1 species
UUGAACGCUGGCGGCAGGCCUAACCCCUGCCAGUCGCACGGUAGCACAGAGAGCUUGCUCUCGGGUGACGAGUGGCGGACGGGUGAGUAAUGUCUGGGAAACUGCCCGAUGGAGGGGGAUAACUACUGGAAACGGUAGCUAAUACCGCAUAAUGUCGCAAGACCAAAGAGGGGGACUUUCGGGCCUCUUGCCAUCGGAUGUGCCCAGAUGGGAUUAGCUAGUUGGUGAGGUAAUGGCUCACCAAGGCGACGAUCCCUAGCUGGUCUGAGAGGAUGACCAGCCACACUGGAACUGAGACACGGUCCAGACUCCUACGGGAGGCAGCAGUGGGGAAUAUUGCACAAUGGGCGCAAGCCUGAUGCAGCCAUGCCGCGUGUAUGAAGAAGGCCUUCGGGUUGUAAAGUACUUUCAGCGGGGAGGAAGGCAAUGCGGUUAAUAACCGUGUUGAUUGACGUUACCCGCAGAAGAAGCACCGGCUAACUCCGUG